ACCAAAAUAGCUCAGUGGUAGAGCACUUGCCAAGUAAGCAAAAGGCCCUACGUUCAGUCCUCAGCGCUGAAA
rnacentral:tRNA from 1 species